GGUUGUGUGGUGUAAUGGUAGCACGUAUCGUUGUGGCCGAUACAAUCGCGGUUCGAUUCCGUGCACAGCCA